rnacentral:rRNA from 1 species
GAAAUGGAUUUCCUCCUAGAGAGAAGCUUGCGGCCAUUAGCUUGUUGGUGAGGUAAUGGCUCACCAAGGCGACGAUCAGUAUCUGGUUUGAGAGGACGAUCAGACACACUGGAACUGAGACACGGUCCAGACUCCUACGGGAGGCAGCAGUGGGGAAUUUUCCGCAAUGGGCGAAAGCCUGACGGAGCAAUACCGCGUGAGGGAUGACGGCCUAUGGGUUGUAAACCUCUUUAUUCAGGGAGGAAUCAAUGACGUGUACCUGAAGAAUAAGCAUCGGCUAACUCCGUGCCAGCAGCCGCGGUAAGACGGAGGAUGCAAGUGUUAUCCGGAAUCACUGGGCGUAAAGCGUCUGUAGGUGGUUUAAUAAGUCAACUGUUAAAUCUUGAGGCUCAACCUCAAAAUCGCAGUCGAAACUAUUAGACUAGAGUAUAGUAGGGGUAAAGGGAAUUUCCAGUGGAGCGGUGAAAUGCGUAGAUAUUGGAAGGAACACCGAUGGCGAAGGCACUUUACUGGGCUAUUACUAACACUCAGAGACGAAAGCUAGGGUAGCAAAUGGGAUUAGAUACCCCAGUAGUCCUAGCUGUAACAAUGGAUACUAGAUGUUGAACAGAUCGACCUGUGCAGUAUCA